UGACAUGUUCGUAGUGCAGCGAUCAGGAUAAUCAAAAGAAAUGCACAACUGGA
rnacentral:ncRNA from 1 species